rnacentral:rRNA from 1 species
GAUGAACGCUGGCGGCGUGCUUAACACAUGCAAGUCGAACGGUGAAGCCAAGCUUGCUUGGUGGAUCAGUGGCGAACGGGUGAGUAACACGUGAGCAACCUGCCCUGGACUCUGGGAUAAGCGCUGGAAACGGCGUCUAAUACUGGAUAUGAGGCGUGACCGCAUGGUCAUGUUUGGAAAGAAUUUCGGUCUGGGAUGGGCUCGCGGCCUAUCAGCUUGUUGGUGAGGUAAUGGCUCACCAAGGCGUCGACGGGUAGCCGGCCUGAGAGGGUGACCGGCCACACUGGGACUGAGACACGGCCCAGACUCCUACGGGAGGCAGCAGUGGGGAAUAUUGCACAAUGGGCGGAAGCUUGAUGCAGCAACGCCGCGUGAGGGAUGACGGCCUUCGGGUUGUAAACCUCUUUUAGCAGGGAAGAAGCGAAAGUGACGGUACCUGCAGAAAAAGCGCCGGCUAACUACGUGCCAGCCGCCGCAGUAAGAC